UCCUCCAUUGGGGCCGAAUCUCAGAGAGUCAUCCUCCAUAACGUCAUCUACCUGGAUCAGUUCUCGAAUAUCUGCCAAGACAGGAUAGUC